UACGGAGGAUCCGAGCGUUAUCCGGAUUUAUUGGGUUUAAAGGGUGCGUAGGCGGCCUGGUAAGUCAGGGGGGAAAGACGGUAGCUUAACUAUCGCAGUGCCCUUGAUACUGCUGGGCUUGAAUGUAGUUGAGGUAGGCGGAAUGUGACAAGUAGCGGUGAAAUGCAUAGAUAUGUCACAGAACACCAAUUGCGAAGGCAGCUUACUAAAGUAUGAUUGACGCUGAGGCACGAAAGCGUGGGGAUCAAACAGG
rnacentral:rRNA from 1 species